GUGAGGAGGAGGAACCCCUCUGACUAGUGACGAUGUCGUUGCUCGCCGA
rnacentral:snoRNA from 1 species